rnacentral:lncRNA from 1 species
CAACAUCCAAACACAGAGGUUCUUCAACGUAUACGUGGAAAGAGCAUUUUUGACACAUUUAGAUGAUAGAUAUCAUAACUAAACGAAGACAAUAACGUAGAAAAAUGUUUGAGACGAGUUAAAACAAUACUUGGGAAUGACCUUACUUGGAUUGAUAAUAUACUGGAGUGUUUUAUGAUCCAUCUUGAUCUUAAAUUGGCUACAAAUUGGCCUCUUUUUAUAUAAUUUUAUCGAAGAAAACAAAACUGGAUACUCCACAACUUUCUCCAGCUGGAUUAGAAUGACCCUAAGACUAACAGACGAGGCAUUGACGAUAAUGACAACGG